rnacentral:rRNA from 1 species
UAGGGAAUCUUCCGUAAUGGGCGAAAGCCUGACGGAGCAACGCCGCGUGAGUGAUGAAGGUCUUCGGAUCGUAAAACUCUGUUAUUAGGGAAGAACAAAUGUGUAUGUAACUAUGCACGUCUCGACGGUACCUAAUCAGAAAGCCUCGGCUAACUACGUGCCAGCAGCCCCGGUAAUAUGUAGGUGGCAAGCGUUAUCCGGAAUUAUUGGGCGUAAAGCGCGCGUAGGCGGUUUUUUAAGUCUGAUGUGAAAGCCCACGGCUCAACCGUGGAGGGGCAUUGGAAACUGGAAAGCUUGAGAGCAGAAGAGGAAUGUGGAAUUCCAUGUGUAGCGGUGAAAUGCGCAGAGAUAUGGAGGAACACCAGUGGAGAAGGCGACUUUCUAGUCUGUAUCUGACGCUGAUGUGCGAAAGCGUGGGGAUCAAACAG